ACGGGUGAGUAACACGUAGGUAACCUACCCUUCAGUGGGGGACAACAGAGGGAAACUUCUGCUAAUACCGCAUACGAUCACGGACUGGGAUGUUCGUGGUGAAAGGAUUUAUUCGCUGAGGGAUGGGCCUGCGGCCUAUCAGGUAGUUGGUGGGGUAAUGGCCUACCAAGCCUGCGACGGGUAGCCGGACUGAGAGGUCGAUCGGCCACACUGGAACUGAGACACGGUCCAGACUCCUACGGGAGGCAGCAGUGGGGAAUAUUGCACAAUGGGGGAAACCCUGAUGCAGCGACGCCGCGUGGAGAAUGACGGCCUUCGGGUUGUAAACUCCUUUUGUCGGGGACAAUGGUGAUGGUACCCGACGAAUAAGCCACGGCUAACUCUGUGCCAGCAGCCGCGGUAAGACAGAGGUGGCGAGCGUUGUUCGGAAUUACUGGGCUUAAAGGGCGCGUAGGCGGUGGUGUAAGUCUAGGGUGGAAUGCUACAGCUCAACUGUAGAGCUGCCUUGGAAACUGCAUUACUUGAGUCGGUGAGGGGAAGGUGGAAUUCCAGGU
rnacentral:rRNA from 1 species